rnacentral:rRNA from 1 species
UACGUAGGGUGCAAGCGUUGUCCGGAAUUAUUGGGCGUAAAGAGCUCGUAGGCGGUUUGUCGCGUCUGCUGUGAAAUCUGGAGGCUCAACCUCCAGCCUGCAGUGGGUACGGGCAGACUAGAGUGCGGUAGGGGAGAUUGGAACGUCCUGGUGUAGCGGUGGAAUGCGCAGAUAUCAGGAAGAACACCGAUGGCGAAGGCAGAUCUCUGGGCCGUAACUGACGCUGAGGAGCGAAAGCAUGGGGAGCGAACAGG